UACAGAGGGUGCAAGCGUUAAUCGGAAUUACUGGGCGUAAAGCGUGCGUAGACGGUUAUGUAAGUCAGAUGUGAAAGCCCCGGGCUCAACCUGGGAAUUGCAUUUGAGACUGUGUAGCUAGGGUGCGGAAGAGGGAAACGGAAUUUCCGGUGUAGCGGUGAAAUGCGUAGAUAUCGGAAGGAACACCAGUGGCGAAAGCGGCUUCCUGGUCCAGCACCGACGUUCAGGCACGAAAGCGUGGGGAGCAACAGG
rnacentral:rRNA from 1 species